GACGAACGCUGGCGGCGUGCUUAACACAUGCAAGUCGAACGGUGAAGCGCCUUCCUUUUUGGUGGGUGUGGAUGAGUGGCGAACGGGUGAGUAACACGUGAGUAACCUGCCCCCUUCUUCUGGAUAACCGCAUGAAAGUGUGGCUAAUACGGGAUAUUCUGGGUCUGUCGCAUGAUGGGUUUGGGAAAGUUAUUGUUUCGGUGGGGGAUGGGCUCGCGGCCUAUCAGGUUGUUGGCGGGGUGGUGGCAUACCAAGGCGGUGACGGGUACCCGGCCUGGGGGGGAGGCCGGGCACGCUGGGACGGAUGAACAGCCCAGAUGGGAACGAGAGGCAGCCGUGAGGAAUACGGGACGAUGGGCGGAGGCAUGAUGCAGCGAGGCCGCGAGAGUGAUGGAGGCCUGCGGGGUGAGUGCCUCAGGCGCUAGGGAAGCAGACCUGCUUCGUUUGUGAGGAGAAUGACGGUACCGGGAGAAGAAGCGCCGGCUAACUACGUG
rnacentral:rRNA from 1 species